GUGGAUUAGAUACCCUAGUAGUCCACGCCCUAAACGAUGUCUACUAGUUGUCGGGUCUUAAUUGACUUGGUAACGCAGCUAACGCGUGAAGUAGACCGCCUGGGGAGUACGGUCGCAAGAUUAAAACUCAAAGGAAUUGACGGGGACCCGCACAAGCGGUGGAUGAUGUGGAUUAAUUCGAUGCAACGCGAAAAACCUUACCUACCCUUGACAUGUACGGAACCCUCGAGAGAUUGAGGGGUGCUCGAAAGAGAGCCGUAACACAGGUGCUGCACGGCCGUCGCCAACU
rnacentral:rRNA from 1 species